rnacentral:rRNA from 1 species
AUUGAACGCUGGCGGCAGGCCUAACACAUGCAAGUCGAGCGGAUGAAGGGAGCUUGCGCCUGGAGUCAGCGGCGGACGGGUGAGUAAUGCCUAGGAAUCUGCCUGGUAGGGGGGGAUAACGUCCGGAAACGGGCGCUAAUACCGCAUACGUCCUGAUGGAGAAAGUGGGGGAUCUUCGGACCGCACACUAUCAGAUGAGCCUAGGUCGGAUUAGCUAGUUGGUGGGGUAAAGGCCUACCAAGGCGACGAUCCGUAACUGGUCUGAGAGGAUGAUCAGUCACACUGGAACUGAGACACGGUCCAGACUCCUACGGGAGGCAGCAGUGGGGAAUAUUGGACAAUGGGCGAAAGCCUGAUCCAGCCAUGCCGCGUGUGUGAAGAAGGUCUUCGGAUUGUAAAGCACUUUAAGUUGGGAGGAAGGGCAGUAAGUUAAUACCUUGCUGUUUUGACGUUACCAACAGAAUAAGCACCGGCUAACUUCGUG